rnacentral:rRNA from 1 species
GAUAGAACGCUAGGCGACAGGCUUAACACGAUGCAAGUCGAGGGGCAGGCACAGGUAAGGCAAUACCGGGUGGCGACCGGCGCACGGGUGAGUAACGCGUAUGCAACUUACCUAUCAGAGGGGGAUAACCCGGCGAAAGUCGGACUAAUACCGCAUGAAGCAGGGGCCCCGCAUGGGGAUAUUUGCUAAAGAUUCAUCGCUGAUAGAUAGGCAUGCGUUCCAUUAGGCAGUUGGCGGGGUAACGGCCCACCAAACCGACGAUGGAUAGGGGUUCUGAGAGGAAGGUCCCCCACAUUGGUACUGAGACACGGACCAA